UACGACUACAUAUCAGGCAUAUCAAUAAGCGGAGGAAAAGAAACUAACUAGGAUUCCCUCAGUAACGGCGAGUGAAGCGGGAAGAGCUCAAAUUUGAAAUCUUCAAGGUUCUAUCCUUGACGAAUUGUAGUUUAAAGAAGUGUUUUCUGUUGAGUGUUUCGGUAAAAGUUCUUUGGAAUAGGACAUCAUAGAGGGUGAGAAUCCCGUAUUUGACCAUUAUUUCCAGCUGUGUGAUACACUUUCAAAGAGUCGGAUUGUUUGGGAAUGCAGUCCAAAAUGGGUGGUAAAUUUCAUCUAAAGCUAAAUAUUGGCGAGAGACCGAUAGCGAACAAGUACCGUGAGGGAAAGAUGAAAAGAACUUUGAAAAGAGAGUUAAACAGUACGUGAAAUUGUCAAAAGGGAAGCGUUUGACACCAGUGUUGUUUUCUCGAAAAUCAAUUAAAAAUGGCUUGAUUUUGUGUUGUAUUGACCUUAAAAGCUUUCUUCACUUUUUUCAUGUCUUUUUUAAUGCACUUUUCGUUUAACAAGUCAACAUCAGUUUCUUUUGUUGUAAAAAGGUCAGUUGGAAGGUGGCUUUCUUUUCGGAGAAAGUGUUUAUAGCCUUUGACUCCUGCAAUCGGAGAGACUGAGGUCUGCAGCGUAGAUCCUUUGGAUUAGAUUCAUUUGUGCUAAGUUAUAGCUUUUUAUAGACAACUUGUUGACUAUGAUCAGUCAUGUAACUUACUCGCUUAUGCUAAUUUUACCUACGCUUAGGAUGUUGACGCGCGUGUGUGCGUG
rnacentral:rRNA from 1 species